GAUGAACGCUGGCGGCGUGCCUAAUACAUGCAAGUCGAGCGAACAGACGAGGAGCUUGCUCCUCUGACGUUAGCGGCGGACGGGUGAGUAACACGUGGAUAACCUACCUAUAAGACUGGGAUAACUUCGGGAAACCGGAGCUAAUACCGGAUAAUAUAUUGAACCGCAUGGUUCAAUAGUGAAAGACGGUUUUGCUGUCACUUAUAGAUGGAUCCGCGCCGCAUUAGCUAGUUGGUAAGGUAACGGCUUACCAAGGCAACGAUGCGUAGCCGACCUGAGAGGGUGAUCGGCCACACUGGAACUGAGACACGGUCCAGACUCCUACGGGAGGCCGCAGUAGGGAAUCUUCCGCAAUGGGCGGAAGCCUGACGGAGCAACGCCGAGUGAGUGAUGAAGGUCUUCGGAUCGUAAAACUCUGUUAUUAGGGAAGAACAAAUGUGUAAGUAACUAUGCACGUCUUGACGGUACCUAAUCAGAAAGCCACGGCUAACUACGUG
rnacentral:rRNA from 1 species